GAUCAUGGCUCAGGAUGAACGCUGGCGGCGUGCUUAACACAUGCAAGUCGAGCGAAGCACUUUACUUGGAUUUCUUCGGAAUGACGAGUAUUGUGACUGAGCGGGCGGACGGGUGAGUAACGCGUGGGUAACCUGCCUCAUACAGGGGGAUAACAGUUAGAAAUGACUGCUAAUACCGCAUAAGACCACAGCACCGCAUGGUGCAGGGGUAAAAACUCCGGUGGU
rnacentral:rRNA from 1 species